ensembl:rRNA 5S_rRNA 5S ribosomal RNA
UGUCACAGCCAUAUCACCCUGCAGCUCAAGAGCGGUUACUUACUGAAGCUAAGCAGGGCUGAGCCUGGUCAGUACCUGGAUGGUUGACCACAUGAAAAAGCUAGGUUGCUGUUGGAA